UGGGGAAUUUUGGACAAUGGGGGCAACCCUGAUCCAGCCAUGCCGCGUGAGUGAUGAAGGCCUUCGGGUUGUAAAGCUCUUUUGGCGGGGACGAUGAUGACGGUACCCGCAGAAUAAGCCCCGGCUAACUUCGUGCCAGCAGCCGCGGUAAGACGAAGGGGGGCUAGCGUUGUUCGGAAUUACUGGGCGUAAAGCGAGUGUAGGCGGUUGCCGUAGUCAGGUGUGAAAGCCUUGAGCUCAACUCAAGAAAUGCACUUGAUACUGGGUGACUAGAGGACCGGAGAGGAUAGUGGAAUUCCCAGUGUAGUGGUGAAAUACGUAGAGAUUGGGAAGAACACCAGUGGCGAAGGCGGCUAUCUGGACGGUUACUGACGCUAAAGACUCGAAAGCGUGGGGAGCAAACAGGAUUAGAUACCCUGGUAGUCCACGCCGUAAAC
rnacentral:rRNA from 1 species